UGCUCUUCUCACUGCCUGAUUACCCAGAUCGGACUGUGUAUGACUAUGUACAUACACACACCGACUGAUCUAACUCACUGGUUCCUCCUCUGUCAUUCGAAGAACAUUCCACAGCAGAGCGUCACACUCCGACUGCAACUGUCAAAACAGUCUCUUCGUAACCCAGCUCAAAACGGUGGACAUAGACACCUCACACUGGCUGCAGCUGGAACAACUGAAUGCUGUGAUGAAAGAAUGAGUGCAAAAAGAACACUCGAAAGACAGUGGAAACAUUUGGGGUUGUUUGGAGUAAAAGAUUCCAGGUGCUCAGUGUAUCACACGUAACUGAACGCUCCAGGCAGAAGAGUUCAUCAAACUGCUCUGGCGAAGCACUGCUGAACGAUGGGCUUCCAGUUACCUGUUUUCCGAGUGCACUGCGGUAAAUUUUGCCGCUAACCGUCUUAGAAAAGCCAAAGUCAACAGGAGCACAGCAACCUCCGGGUUCAAUUCCAUCGGAGCUUGGUGGGUCAUGGCUAGUGUGCUGUUUAGCCAUCUGACCGCUUUUCUCCACAUGAGGGUCCAGUAUACUCUUAGUGGGCUGGUUAAACGGGGACAAAGAUCAUAAAACAUGAUGAGGAUGUUGAUGGGAAUGACAGCAACAUUGUUGUUGAUGCCGCAGGGUGAUGAUGGUAAUGAUAGAGUUCACUUCCUCAGGCUUGUCUAGUGAGGCACAGUUGACAACUGUUGGCCUGUACCUCAGAAGUGCUAUAAUUCCAACAACAAACAAUGUGUCUUUUAAGAUCGGGCAAUACUCCUUGGUAGAGGCCUGAUAAGAGCUAUAUUUACAGCCUCAAUCUUUAUUUCUGAAUGUGGGCUCAGCAGAGUUGCUCCAUUCUAGGUGGCCUCCAAAGCCACAGUGGAGUAUCUUGUGGCAGGGAAAAAGGGCAUUCCAACAGAACUGGGGAAAAGAGUGGGCUGAGGGAGAAACCUCAAGAAAUUUGGGUUGGGGGAGAAUUAUGGAAGACCCAAAAGCCACAGCCCAAGAGAGGAAAUAGGAACUCUGCAUCUCAAGACUCAAUCCUCCUGGCCAAACUUCAUAACAUGUGAUUAAGUCAACUUGCUGCUUUCCACGAAAGAGCCUGGAUUGAAAUCUGCAGCUAUGUUUGCUGAGAUACUCUCUUUUCUCGGAGACUGAUAAAAGCAAGGGUUCGGCAUUAAUGAACCAGCUGACGAGCUCCUGGUCACCACGUCCACCCAUGACUCUAAAUGUUGUGUUUCUCCAAAAACAAAUCCCACCGGUUACAGAAAAAAGAAUACCAGGCAGAACCAAAGCAGUGGUUCCUGAUUAUAUGGAACAUCCAUGCAUGGAACCUGACGUCAGAGAGUGGCCUGCACUCCCUGUGAAAACAAGCAGGGGCAAAGAGAUGGGCAGAAUGAAAGACUGAAAAAGAGGAACGCGAGAUGGGUUGACCCUCUUACAUCCCCUCUGGACCCUCCCCUGUCUAUACAAAUCCCUUGAGAGACAGAUAGUCACGCACCUGGUCCCCACCACAAGCAUAUGCUUAUCUCAGCUCUGCAAAUAGGAUGGCAUGGAAAAGAAAACACACACACACACACUGGGUGCUGGAGUCAUGGAUUCCUACUCCCCAGUCAACCUUUGACGACCUCCAUGGGCUCUCACUCUAUGCCUGAUGGGUUACAGGCUUGAGAGAUAAGCUUUAUGUGGCACUAUGACGGUAUUCAUUUUUCAUCAUUAGCAUCAGAAGAGUGCUUUUCAAGGUUCUCCUACCAUGCUAAUCCUUGCAAAGACUUCUAGUCUGGAGUGAAUCAGAGAUUAUCAGGACAUGGCAUGGUUGGAGGUGAUGGAAGAACUUCCAUUCGAUUUAUUAGUCAUCGUGUCUUUUUCAAAUUGAAGUCUUGAGGCCACCAUGAUGGAGAUGAGUAGUGAAACAGAUUGAAACAAUUCAUUUUUGUGGGAGCAAUUGUGCUCCGUUUCAGAUUCAAAGGGGUCGGAACAAAUGGAAUGUGAACUAUCCUUUUUCAAACAGCAAAACUUAUAAACACACAUUUAGCAAAAACGUCAAAGAAAUUCCAGAUGCCCCGGAGAACAUGUUUGGAACGGGUGGCUUGGCCACAUCCCAAAAAAGAGUGGGUGGAAACAACACUACAUUGAAUUAAAGCCGCAUCCUAAUCCCAGCAGGAAAUCUUCUACUUUCCCCCCAAAACAGUGUUGCCACUUUCCUACUUAGUGGUCAACUUCAAUAACAAUUAAACCUCAUAACUUACUAAAU